rnacentral:rRNA from 1 species
UACGUAGGGUGCGAGCGUUGUCCGGAAUUAUUGGGCGUAAAGGGCUCGUAGGCGGUUUGUCGCGUCGGGAGUGAAAACACCGGGCUUAACUCGGUGCUUGCUUUCGAUACGGGCAGACUAGAGGUAUUCAGGGGAGAACGGAAUUCCUGGUGUAGCGGUGAAAUGCGCAGAUAUCAGGAGGAACACCGGUGGCGAAGGCGGUUCUCUGGGAAUAUCCUGACGCUGAGGAGCGAAAGUGUGGGGAGCGAACCGG